rnacentral:rRNA from 1 species
UACCAGACUCCUACGGGAGGCAGCAGUGGGGAAUAUUGCACAAUGGGGGGAACCCUGAUGCAGCAACGCCGCGUGAGUGAAGAAGUACCUCGGUAUGUAAAGCUCUAUCAGCAGGGAAGAAAAUGACGGUACCUGACUAAGAAGCACCGGCUAAAUACGUGCCAGCAGCCGCGGUAAUACGUAUGGUGCAAGCGUUAUCCGGAUUUACUGGGUGUAAAGGGAGCGCAGGCGGCGCGGCAAGUCUGAUGUGAAAGGUCGGGGCCCAACCCCGGGACUGCAUUGGAAACUGUUGAACUGGAGUACAGGAGAGGUAAGCGGAAUUCCUAGUGUAGCGGUGAAAUGCGUAGAUAUUAGGAGGAACACCAGUGGCGAAGGCGGCUUACUGGACUGUAACUGACGUUGAGGCUCGAAAGCGUGGGGAGCAAACAGGAUUAGAUACCCCGGUA